CUGUCUCAAAACAAAAAGGAAUGAGUGGCAUCGUCCUCUCCCUGGACUUUGGGGUGGGACUCGGAACUCCUCCGGAAGGAAGAUGAAAAGCGUGGUCUCUGCCAGGGAGGAAGGGGUGAUGCUCCGUGCGCAGAUUAGAGAGUCAAACAGUCUGUUUGACUAAGAUGGUAGAUCCUGGAUGGUGCAGCGCCAGGAGACAGCUACGGUACGUGUGCUCCCUUUCUGCGCAUGCCCGAUCAGGAGACAGUCAGUUCCCGCCCAGGCCAGGCGGGCCGGGGGCAGGAGUCACCCGGCCCUCCCACACUAUAAAUAAAGAGCGCA
rnacentral:lncRNA from 1 species